UACGUAGGGCGCGAGCGUUGUCCGGAAUUAUUGGGCGUAAAGAGCUCGUAGGCGGCUUGUCGCGUCGACUGUGAAAUCCCGCGGCUCAACUGCGGGUCUGCAGUCGAUACGGGCAGGCUAGAGUUCGGUAGGGGAGACUGGAAUUCCUGGUGUAGCGGUGAAAUGCGCAGAUAUCAGGAAGAACACCGGUGGCGAAGGCGGCUCUCUGGGCCGAUACUGACGCUGAGGAGCGAAAGCGUGGGGAGCGAACAGG
rnacentral:rRNA from 1 species